GGAUCAUUAAAGAGUUUAAUAAAACUCCUAAACCCCUGUGAACUUACUGGUGUUUGGCUCGCCAGAUAUAGUCUGGUCCGUAAGCAAAUCGACUGCCUGCCUGUGUAACAGGCAGGUAAGCUUUUGUCGCGGGGUCCCGGAUCAACCCGGGCUAGAUAGCCACUUAACUAUAUACUUUUUAUAAAAUCUGUGAACUUACUAGGUUGGAUUCUCGCCAGAGAUAGUCUGGUUUCUGCCACGCAGAUCGACUGCCUGCCUGUGACACCUGUCACAGGUAGGUAAGCUUUUGCCGCGGGUCCGCAUGUAAAUCGUCUGUUUCACAAGGGACGGCGAUUUACCUGUGGAAGAGGUCCGCUAACUAUAUUCUUAGUAUAGUUUGUUCACUAGAUCAAACAUUCUGAAUAAAAACUUAAACUAGUUAAAACUUUCAACAACGGAUCUCUUGGUUCUGGCAUCGAUGAAGAACGCAGCGAAAUGCGAUAAGUAAUGUGAAUUGCAGAAUUCAGUGAAUCAUCGAAUCUUUGAACGCACAUUGCGCCCAUUAGUAUUCUAGUGGGCAUGCCUGUUCGAGCGUCAUUUCAACCCUUAAGCCCCUGUUGCUUAGCGUUGGGAGCCUACAGCCUGCUGUAGCUCCUUAAAGGUAGUGGCGGAGUCGGUUCACACUCUAGACGUAGUAAAAUCUUUAUCUCGCCUAUGGAUGAGCCGGCGCCUUGCCGUAAAACCCCUAAUCUUUCACAAGGUUGACCUCGGAUCAGGUAGGAAUACCCGCUGAACUUAAGCAUAUCAAUAAGCGGAGGAAAAGAAACCAACAGGGAUUGCCCUAGUAACGGCGAGUGAAGCGGCAACAGCUCAAAUUUGAAAUCUGGCCUUCGGGUCCGAGUUGUAAUUUGCAGAGGAUGCUUUGGGCGCGGUGCCUUCCGAGUUCCCUGGAACGGGACGCCUUAGAGGGUGAGAGCCCCGUACGGUUGGACACCAAGCCUCUGUAAAGCUCCUUCGACGAGUCGAGUAGUUUGGGAAUGCUGCUCUAAAUGGGAGGUAAAUUUCUUCUAAAGCUAAAUAUUGGCCAGAGACCGAUAGCGCACAAGUAGAGUGAUCGAAAGAUGAAAAGCACUUUGAAAAGAGGGUUAAAUAGCACGUGAAAUUGUUGAAAGGGAAGCGUUUGCGACCAGACCUUUUCCCAGCGGAUCAUCCGGUGUUCUCACCGGUGCACUUCGCUGGGUUGAGGCCAGCAUCGGUUUCCGCAGGGGGAUAAAAGCCUGGGGAACGUAGCUCCCUCGGGAGUGUUAUAGCCCCUCGCAUAAUACCCUUGCGGGGACCGAGGACCGCG
rnacentral:rRNA from 1 species